CAGUCGCCGCGGUAAUACGAAGGGGGCUAGCGUUGUUCGGAUUUACUGGGCGUAAAGCGCACGUAGGCGGACUUUUAAGUCAGGGGUGAAAUCCCGGGGCUCAACCCCGGAACUGCCUUUGAUACUGGAAGUCUUGAGUAUGGUAGAGGUGAGUGGAAUUCCGAGUGUAGAGGUGAAAUUCGUAGAUAUUCGGAGGAACACUAGUGGCGAAGGCGGCUCACUGGACCAUUACUGACGCUGAGGUGCGAAAGCGUGGGGAGCAAACAGGAUUAGAUACCCCUGUAGUCCCUGUCUCUUAUAC
rnacentral:rRNA from 1 species